rnacentral:rRNA from 1 species
CCCCGGCGCCACAAGUGGUUAUCACGAUUAUUGGGCCUAAAGCGUUCGUAGCCGGUCUGGUAAAUCUCUUGUGAAAUUGUUCGGCUUAACCGGACAGCGUGCAGGAGACACUGCCAGACUCGAGACCGGGAGGGGUUAGAAGUAUUCCAUGGGGACUGGUAAAAUGGGAUAAUCCAUGGAAGACUACCGAUGGCGAAGGCAUCUAACCAGAACGGAUCUGACGGUGAGGAACGAAAGCGUGGGGAGCAAACAGG